rnacentral:rRNA from 1 species
GACGAACGCUGGCGGUGUGCUUAACACAUGCAAGUCGAGCGAUGAAGCACCUUCGGGUGUGAAUUAGCGGCGAACGGGUGAGGAACACGUGAAGAAUCUGCCUUCAACUCUGGGAUAACUCCGGGAAACCGGGGCUAAUACCGGAUAUGAGCCUUGAUCGCAUGAUCGGGGCUGGAAAGUUUUUCGGUUGAAGAUGACUUCGCGGCCUAUCAGCUUGUUGGUGAGGUAAUGGCUCACCAAGGCGACGACGGGUAGCCGGCCUGAGAGGGCGACCGGCCACACUGGGACUGAGACACGGCCCAGACUCCUACGGGAGGCAGCAGUGGGGAAUAUUGGGCAAUGGAGGAAACUCUGACCCAGCGACGCCGCGUGAGGGAUGAAGGCCUUCGGGUUGUAGACCUCUUUCAGUAGGGAAGAAGCGAAAGUGACGGUACCUACAGAAGAAGCACCGGCUAACUAUGUGCCAGCAGCCGCCGUAA